AGAGUCGUUACAAGAACUUCAUUCGCGUUAAUAAUGGUGUUUUCAAAUAACAUUUCUGAAUAGCUGGUUGUAGUUUUUGCCCAUUUCCAAGAAGAUAUGUUUUAUACAUUUAAAAUUUUAAAAUCAUUGUAAAUGCUUUAAAAAAACCCAAAAAAAAACUUUAUAACAAAGUAUUGUGGUCCAGAGAUAGAAAAUGGCAUAUAAAGGUGGACAUUAAUUCCUCAGUUGCCACUGGGUGGAGCUCCUCACACACACACACACACACACACACAAACCGAUUGUUCACCCAGGUGUCCCUCACUAGGUCACAUGACCAAACAUGUGUCUAUAAAUUAAACCUUUUACGGUCAAUUAGGGGGAGUUUACAAGAUAGACAUGCCUUGGUGCACGGUUGCUUUUUAAUGCAACAAAAUGAAAGUGGCUGAAUUAUUUAUCCGCGUGAAGGAAUUGCUGGUUGAGAAUAGCAUUCCUUGUUCCAUGAAAGUUUCAGUGAGUGAAGAUAACUGUGUGGAUUAUAAUGAUUUUGAUUCAAUGGAGAGGACUUUUGUUUGUUUUCUACCUUGGAACAGUUCUGUUUGUCUACAGGACAUCGUUGGCCUGUUGUCCUCCAGAAUUGAAGAAUGGCAGCAAGGCCAGAUGACUCAUGUGAACAGCAACCACUGUCAGCCUCACCUUCUCCAUUUGGCAGGCUGUUAUCUUCUCGUACCCUCAAUGCUCCCUCUAGUAACUGCUACAUUGACAAUAAUGCUGUGAUUCUGUGAUGUAAUAAUACUGAUAAAUGAAAUUAACACAUUCA